AGAGUUUGAUCCUGGCUCAGGACGAACGCUGGCGGCGUGCCUAAUACAUGCAAGUCGAGCGGACAGAAGGGAGCUUGCUCCCGGAUGUUAGCGGCGGACGGGUGAGUAACACGUGGGUAACCUGCCUGUAAGACUGGGAUAACUCCGGGAAACCGGAGCUAAUACCGGAUAGUUCCUUGAACCGCAUGGUUCAAGGAUGAAAGACGGUUUCGGCUGUCACUUACAGAUGGACCCGCGGCGCAUUAGCUAGUUGGUGAGGUAACGGCUCACCAAGGCGACGAUGCGUAGCCGACCUGAGAGGGUGAUCGGCCACACUGGGACUGAGACACGGCCCAGACUCCUACGGGAGGCAGCAGUAGGGAAUCUUCCGCAAUGGACGAAAGUCUGACGGAGCAACGCCGCGUGAGUGAUGAAGGUUUUCGGAUCGUAAAGCUCUGUUGUUAGGGAAGAACAAGUGCAAGAGUAACUGCUUGCACCUUGACGGUACCUAACC
rnacentral:rRNA from 1 species